AUGUGUUAAAAUACACCACACUAAAAUCUGUUCUUAUCAGUUUAAUAUGUGAUGUAUUCUCUAGCCAAGGAUGAUAUAUUAAAUGGAUUUUUGGAACUAGGAAGUAGAAUAGGUUGCUUGCUCCCUCCACUCCACACAUCAACCCAGUACUGGAGUACUUCCAGGAACAGUUCAUCCUCU
rfam:Mustela putorius furo unplaced genomic scaffold scaffold00031, whole genome shotgun sequence.